AUGUUCCUCACAAUAGUAAAAAAUAAGAUGUUCCGUCCGAAGGGUUAAUAUCUGAUACACUGUCCAUUGGACAGUACGAUAUUAAACUAAUUUUUGAACUGAGGCUUGCGGUCUGGAAUUUUUUCCGCCCUCGCCACGGGUCGGCCCGCUAUUGCACUACUUGCGGGAUUCGGCCCACUCCCA